rnacentral:tRNA from 1 species
GGGAGUAUAAUUCAAUUGGUAGAGUGCUUGCCUAGCAUGCAUAAGUCCCUGGGUUCAAUCCUCAGCAACCCCA